AAGCAGUUGGUAUAAACGCAAAAUACAUAGUAUGUUGCAUAGAGCGUAAAAAGGACUGUGUCUAAAGAAAAUGAAGUUACGUCAACGAGUUGUCGUCCUUCGACGCACAAUAGUAGCCUGUCAUUCUUCAGUAUGUUUUCACCAAUAACCAAAACCCGUGGAUAGGUGGUGCGGGUUGUUUUGUUAGGCAAAUCAUCAUCUUCCUAAAACAUACACAAAAAAGAAAAUGCUUCAGUGUUUGAAAGUUGCCUCGAUGAAUGCACUGUAUGGAAAACGUUUCUAGUAAAUUAAAGAACAUCGACACAAGCGUUGCAUGCAGUUCACUAAGAAGUCUUUAUCAUUGCUUACCGACAGCAUUUCCAUCAGGCUGUUUUUAGACGUUUUCUUGGUUAGCAAAUGGACUAACAGCAUCACUGAACUUGUUGUUUCAAAGUCUGUUUAAACGUUAACACAACUUAGCAUUUAUAAAAUAUUAUAUUUUCCUUAAAUAUUGUGAUAAUAGAUUUACCACGCGGAAAGCAUAUAGGGAUGACAGUGUCAUCGCUACACCUUGUAAUUUAUAACACUCUGUAACUAAAAGCGAGAGACUUGCGAGGUGGGAAACGGAUACGUAUUAAAGAAACAAUUGCCCAACAUAAAAUUCGAAAAAAAAAUAAAAAAAAUGGCUUUAUUACUAGGCUAUUUUUACCUACCGGAGGAGUCCUCUAUUCCUUCUGAUACUGCUUUUUCUAGGCACCUUAAAGUAUUCUUGAUGAAUGGACUUUUUCGAUAUAAUUCUUUACAGUACUUUAAGAUUGCUUUUCGAUAAGUAGAGAAUGAAGACUUCAUGUCUUUAACGGCA